rnacentral:rRNA from 1 species
AUGAGUACUGCCAACGGCACACGGCGUGCCUCAAGAAGGCAAUCACAAGAUGCUGAUAAGGUCGUCGUGAACUUGGUCUCAACCCCCCCAGCGGCGGGCAGCCGUCGUGGAGUAUCGACCUCUAACGCUGGCGCGCGCACCUCACCCAUUGACGUGGAAGCCCUCGAGGAUGAAGUGCAGGUCGUAUCAGCUUCACAAGUGCCUCCUCAGAGGAGGAACCGGAGACCUAGGAGGCAGCCUGUGACAGUAGUUGAUCUCGAUGUACAUGCUACCCGGCAAGGAGUUUCUCAUGAUGAUAAUGCAACAGUGCUUUCUCCUAACACAAGGAACAAACGCCCAAGAGUUGCUCCUGUAAUAGACAUCUCUCCAGAAACAGGAGAAGGGUCCAGCUUACAGUCAAAAAAUGCGGGGAAAACUAGCAAAGAGCAUCUGAAUGUGGCUCCAAAGGAACCCAUCUUCACCUGCCCGGUGUGUUGGAACAAGUUGGAUGAGCCAGCCACAACAAUGUGCGGCCACAUCUUCUGCACAAACUGCAUAAAGCAAGCCAUCCAGUUCCAGAAGAAAUGUCCUACCUGCCGGAAGCACCUGAAGAUGAACAAUUUCCAUCGCAUUUACCUUCCUAACACCUCCCGUUAA